ensembl:snoRNA SNORA74 Small nucleolar RNA SNORA74
CCCAGCUGUUGGCAACUGCCUAGGUUACCUGUACCUAGGCAAGUGUUACACUGCUAUGAGAAAAGCAGCCAAGCUGGCAGAUAUUCUGGACCUGGCUAAUGCCAAAUUUGUGCUAACUAUGCCAGUGUGCCAGUAUAGUUGCUUUUCCUAUUGUCUUUUUCCUUUUUAAAGAUAUGUGAGGAAAACAGG